UACGUAGGGGGCAAGCGUUGUCCGGAUUUAUUGGGCGUAAAGAGCGUGUAGGCGGCCAGGUAGGUCUGCUGUGAAAACUCGAGGCUUAACCUCGAGAUGUCGGCGGAACCCAUCUGGCUAGAGUCCGGAAGAGGAGAAUGGAAUUCCCGGUGUAGCGGUGAAAUGCGCAGAUAUCGGGAAGAACACCCGUGGCGAAGGCGGUUCUCUGGGACGGUACUGACGCUGAGACGCGAAAGCGUGGGGAGCGAACAGG
rnacentral:rRNA from 1 species